rnacentral:snoRNA from 1 species
UGCCCCCUGGAAACACCUUAUUGGUGGUGGUGCUCUCAUAUCAGUCAGGGGCAGAGCAGAUGGCAGUCCUUUGUUCAUCCUAGCUUGAUGUCUGGCUUGGUGGCCAAAGCUGUUUUAUGCUUAGGAGACAUCA